rnacentral:rRNA from 1 species
AUGAAGGGCACUGUAAAGAGUCUCGACGACCCAAGGGUGAUCUUCUCUUUCGGCAUGGGUGGUGGCAUUGGUGUGCUGCACAUCGCAGCCGUCGGAGGGCAUCUUGAGGUUUGCAAAUACUUGGUGGAGGAACUCGGGGGAGAUGUGAAUGCUCCUGCUCCUGGAGUAGGAGACUUUGCAGGUGUGACACCCUUUAUGUCAUCUGCUCAGUCUGGCGAUGUUUCUACUGUGAAGUAUUUGCUUGAUCAUGGCGGUGAUCUAACAAAGUCAGAUGCUAAAGGACGCACAGUUCUCCACCAUGCGGCAUGCAUAGGAAGCUGUACGGUCACCGAGUUCCUACUUUCAAAAGGAGUAGCUGUUGACAUAGACUGUGGCCGUGGUACACCACUCCAUCAAGCUGCUACUAAUGAACAAGAUAAAACAGUGAAGAUUUUGUUGGAACACCAUGCAGAUCCUAACGCCACUGUCGUCGGAAUUGGUACUGCCCUGAUGGGUGCCCUUCUUUACCGUUCUUUGAAGUGCAUGAAGCUGCUGAUCAAGGCCAGUAUUCUGUUUUCUAUAUCCGUUCAUCGCUAUGUUCUACCAUCUCAGCCAUGCUUUUGUGUCAAUCUACAUGGAGAGGGAGCCGUGACACGUUCUAUUCCACAAUCCUUUUUACAGGGUGGUGCUGAUGUCAAUCGAGGGAGCUCCCUUCCGAUGACUCCCUUAGUGUUCACUACAGGGUGGGGAGGCUAUACAAACUUUGUGAAGUUUCUGUUAAAGGCAGGAGCGGAUCCUAAUAUUCCUGAUGCUGAUAGAAGGCAGCUUGAACAAACAAAAGCUACGCUCAAGGCACAUGCAGAUCAUUUAUUCAGGCUGAAGGACUACAAGGCAAUAGAUGUCGCGCCGAGUGCAACAUUGUACGCGAACAGGAGUCUUUGCAAACUGCUGCUGGAUGACGGUGAAGGUGCUCUGUCAGAUGCUCUCAGAUGCAGAAUGCUGCGACCUAACUGGGUGAAAGCUUGCUACCGUCAGGCUGCAGCUCACAAGCUACUCAAAGAGUAUAAACAAGCUUGUGAUGCUCUCCUGGACGCUUAA